rnacentral:rRNA from 1 species
GUGGAAAACCUGCCGUAUACUGGGGGAUAACACUUAGAAAUAGGUGCUAAUACCGCAUAAGCGCACAGCUUCGCAUGAAGCAGUGUGAAAAACUGAGGUGGUAUACGAUGGUUCCGCGUCUGAUUAGCUAGUUGGUGGGGUAAAAGCCUACCAAGGCAACGAUCAGUAGCCGGCCUGAGAGGGUGAACGGCCACAUUGGGACUGAGACACGGCCCAAACUCCUACGGGAGGCAGCAGUGGGGAAUAUUGCACAAUGGGGGAAACCCUGAUGCAGCGACGCCGCGUGAGUGAAGAAGUAUUUCGGUAUGUAAAGCUCUAUCAGCAGGGAAGAAAUACUGACCAUAGGGUCAGCAGACGGUACUUGACUAAGAAGCCCCGGCUAACUACGUGCCAGCAGCCGCGGUAAUACGUAGGGGGCAAGCGUUAUCCGGAUUUACUGGGUGUAAAGGGAGCGUAGACGGCAGCGCAAGUCUGAAGUGAAAUGCCAGGGCUUAACCCUGGAACUGCUUUGGAAACUGUGCAGCUAGAGUGCAGGAGAGGUAAGUGGAAUUUCUAGUGUAGCGGUGAAAUGCGUAGAUAUUAGGAGGAACACCAGUGGCGAAGGCGGCUUACUGGACUGUAACUGACGUUGAGGCUCGAAAGCGUGGGGAGCAAACAGGAUUAGAUACCCUGGUAGUCCACGCUGUAAACGAUGAUUACUAGGUGUUGGGGGACCAAGGUUCUUCGGUGCCGUCGCAAACGCAAUAAGUAAUCCACCUGGGGAGUACGUUCGCAAGAAUGAAACUCAA